rnacentral:rRNA from 1 species
UGGGGAAUAUUGGACAAUGGGCGAAAGCCUGAUCCAGCCAUGCCGCGUGUGUGAAGAAGGCCUUAUGGUUGUAAAGCACUUUAAGCGAGGAGGAGGGUACUGGUAUUAAUACUACCAGGUACUGGACGUUACUCGCAGAAUAAGCACCGGCUAACUCUGUGCCAGCAUCCGCGGUAAUACAGAGGGUGCGAGCGUUAAUCGGAUUUACUGGGCGUAAAGCGUGCGUAGGCGGCUAAUUGAGUCGGAUGUGAAAUCCCCGAGCUUAACUUGGGAAUUGCAUUCGAUACUGGUUAGCGAGAGUGUGGGAGAGGAGGGUAGAAUUCCAGGUGUAGCGGUGAAAUGCGUAGAGAUCUGGAGGAAUACCGAUGGCGAAGGCAGCCAUCUGGCCUAACACUGACGCUGAGGUACGAAAGCAUGGGGAGCAAACAGG